AUAAAAUUUUUCAAAAGAAAAAAUCUGUUCUUAUCAGUUUAAUAUCUGAUACGUCCCCCAUCCGGGGACUACAUAUUAAAUGGAUUUUUAGAUCACGGAGCUGGAGCCGGGGCUUGCUCCGUCCACUCCAUGCAUCGGCCUGGUAUUGCAGUGUCUCCAGGAACGGUGUGCUUUCC
rnacentral:snRNA from 1 species